GACGAACGCUGGCGGCGUGCUUAACACAUGCAAGUCGAACGGAAAGGCCCUGCUUUCGUGGGGUGCUCGAGUGGCGAACGGGUGAGUAACACGUGAGUAACCUGCCCUUGACUUUGGUAUAACUUCAGGAAACUGGGGCUAAUACCGGAUAGGAGCUCCUGCUGCAUGGUGGGGGUUGGAAAGUUUCGGCGGUUGGGGAUGGACUCGCGGCUUAUCUGCUUGUUGGUGGGGUAGUGGCUUACCAAGGGUUUGACGGGUAGCUGGCCUGGGUGGGUGACCGGCCACAUUGGGACUGAGAUACGGCCCGGACUCCUACGGGGGGCAGCAGGGGGGAAUAUUGCACAAUGGGCGGAAGCCUGAUGCAGCAACGCCGCGUGCGGAAUGACGGCCUUCGGGUUGUAAACCGCUUUCGCCGGUAACGAAGCGUGAGUGACGGUAAUGGGUAAAGAAGCACCGGCUAACUACGUG
rnacentral:rRNA from 1 species